AAAAAAAAAUCCCCAUUUACUCUUUAGUGUCGUAUUUGAAAAUAUUAAAGCUCCAAACUAAACCAAACAAACAAACAAAAAGGCAGAGGAGACCUUUAGAGCCAAACAUUUACCCAAUCGUUCGGAGGAACCAUUUCUCCUUUGAUCUACUGUCACGAGCCUUUCGCUGGAAUUUGCUCCAAAAGAGACAUUUUUAUUGGCUUUUGUUUCCCUUUAAAUAGGUUAUAGCAUUUUUUUUGUCCCCUAAAUGAAGACCAGAAGCCCCCACGCAAGAUGAAGAGUCCUUACAAUGUUGGGAAAGCAAAGAAAAGGGGUUAUCUCUUGCAGACCCUUCCCCCAUGCUUGGGAGAGACAUUGGGACCAAAUCACCAUUUGCACAAAAGACUAGAAAUUUGUAAUUGUGGAUAACAAUUUGCAAACAGAACUGGGCCUUCUCACCCCUACCCCCUGCUCUGAGAAGGGCAGUAUGAGUAUUUUAACUGGCCGUACAGUGUCUUCCUGUGCAGACCAAAGAAGGCCUCAGGGAGGUGAUGUGUGUCUGCUGCCAACACAGCUUUAUCCGUUUUCAUGGCCGAGUCUUACUCUACCGUGUAGAGCAUGUCUGUUCAUCUUCUGUGGUUGACUUGUUGCCCCUGUCUGUGGCUGCUAUGAAAUGUACUGCUGUGAACCUUGUGGACCUCGAUGGAGAAGUUAUCUACCUGAAACCCAUUGUGACUGGAUUUGGGGGACACAUGGUCAUUAUACAGUUAACUUUUUGAGGAUUCCAAGGAUCCACUUAUGAUGGAGAAAAAUCAGAGAAAAAUGUAAUGUCUGGUCUUCUGCAGUAGCUGCUUAUGAAGAUGAAUUUGUGUGUCCUGCCAGCUCCGAACCUUCCUCCCCCCAGACGUACCCUUCAAAGCACGGGAUCCUGCUUGGCUCUCUACAGAACUGAGGCUGUCACAGGGAACUCACCUCUGAGGCAGCAGUGACAGUCACAUGAAGGGGUUCCAGAGAGGCUAAGGGACAUCCUCAGAAGGCUGGGGACUUCUCUGAGCCUCAUUGUCUGCAGAACUUGCUAAAAAACCAAAAUGAAACAAAGAAAAACAAAACCAA